ensembl:lncRNA
AGAGGAGCGGUAGCAGAACGUGUGUGUGUGGAGUUAAUCACUUCUUGUUGAGGAGUUCCCGUAGGGAGCGGUGGGGUCUCCUCCUCCACCACAACAGGCAGUCUGGCAGCGGGGACUACGAUAACCACCCGGGACCACCAGUGACAGACAGGUUCACCUGCCGGGACACCCACAGCUCUCUCGCCCCCUCCUCUCUCUUCAUUCUGCUGUUAUUCCUGGUAUGGUGAGUCAGCAGUCAUCGUCGCUUCCCUCUCGCUUACAUUUAUAUCCAUCCGUCUGUCUGUCUGUCUGUCUGUCUGUCUGUCUGUCUGUCUGUCUGUCUGUCUGUCUGUCUUCCUCUCUGUCUUUCUCUCUCUCUCCCCCGCUCUCUCGCCCAGCUGGAGUCAUUCGGUACUGACUCUCUCUUUACUCCCAUAAUGCAGUGCAGCCCGGGGCGCAGAAGAAAGGCACCCGUUUGUCUGUAGGAGAGAGAGAGAGGGAGAGAGGGAGAGAGGGAGGGCGAGAGAGAGAGAGAGAGAGAGGGAGAGAGAGAGAGAGAGAGAGAGAGAGAGAGAGAGAGAGAGGGAGAGAGAAAGAGAGAGAGAGGGAGAGAGCUAGAGAGAGAGAAAGAGGGAGAAAGAGAGAGAGUCUUGCCAUCAUCAGCAGCACAGAGAGCUGAACAGCCAUGCUAAUUAGGCUUGUUGUCCAAUUUAUUUCCGAGGGAGGGAGGUGGAGGAGAAGGGCGAUAAGAGAGAGAGAGCAAAUAGGUGGACCAGCCUCCGACCUCAGCUCUCCCUGGACCAAGCUAAUGAUGAUGAUGAUGAUGAUGAUGACGAUGAUGUUUCCAAGGCGAUGCUCUCUUUCUUUGAUCGGCCCGUGGAAUUAUGUUUAUCGAUGGCCAUGCGAGGGAGGAAGGGAAUUGUGCUUGAGUCCCACUUUGUCUCACAUGCAACUCGAACACACAAACACACACACACACACACACGCACACACACACACCUGGCCUCCCUGUGAUUGAUGUCUGGUCAGUGUGCAGACAUAAAGAGCAGAGCGGGCCGCGCAGACUUCCUUGAGGUACGCCGGCCGUCCUGUCC